AGGCACCAAGAGGGGGCCGGUUAGAUUGGUUGAAAGGGACAUGGAGACCAGAAGGGCUUCUUUCCAGUUCCUUCUUUGUGGGGAACAUUGGGAUCAGAGAGGGUUCUAAGCUCAUUUCAGAAGCCCCAACAUACUUAAAUGAACAUGGCUAGAAAAACUGAAGAUUGAAUUUACUAAUCAUUCCUUGCUUCUCAUUUGUCUCAGGAUUAAGGUGAAAGCUAAAGAACCUAUUCUUGAGCCUAGUAUGGUCCACGUAGGGUGGCCUCACAGCAAAGCCUUUGGGGUGGUGGACAUGAGCCAGGGGCAGAUGACAGAUGUGGCAGUGACUCAGAGGAGUCUUCAAAACCCAUGAAGGCUAAGGGGAAGCCAAGUCAUUAGGGCGGAUCCUCCAGGGUCCAGAGACACUAGAAAAGCAUAGACUACGAAUGAGUUUAUCCACCAUAGAUGUCAACAACAGCUAUCAAUAGGCUCCCUAGGAUCAGAACUGGCUGAGGCAAGCUUCAGUUGAGCUCCGUUCGCAUCGGUCACCACACGCUCCCCUCCCAACUCCAGAAAGCCUGUGGCCCCUCCCAUGCUUUGGCUGCCAUCUUGGAAAGGAGGGCGACAAGCUUUGGAGGGUGGAGAAUAACCCAGUUGAAAAUCUACAAGCAAUGCUGUCCACAUCCCAAAUAGACUGGUCAAAAAGCCUUCAUCCCGUCAGUCACUGACAUCAACUUCAUCCAAAUCAGACUCCUAAAAACCCGGCCUAACUUAUGUGUCAUGCAAAGGAUGGCUCUUGGAAAAAUGCAAAGAAGCAGGGGCCGCUAAGGGAGAGAUGUGAAGGUCAAGGAAGCUCUGAGCUCCUGACAGCCGCCCUUCCAGCCUUCUCCUGCCUUCCAUAGAGAGAUGCUAUGGACUCUUGGUCCAGAGACUCAAAUUCAAGGAAAAGAAGAGGCAACAUUUGCAGUGUUGAUCCUUGAGUUGAACAAAGAGUGGUCAGGAGAAGAAACCAACAAGAAAUGUAACCUACCUCCAGAACUCAGGAACUCAGGUACCCUUAAGGAUAUCAGAAACAAUGAAAUAUGGAUUGGCAGAAGCAUCUUCACCACCAUCUUCAGAUGUAAUUAAUGCAGCUGUUGAAUUUGGUUGACUAUCCACCUAUAAUUACCACAUUGCCCAUUACAGAUUUUUGCUGCCUUUUCUUGCCUCCUUUUCAUUUUUACAUCCACUUAUUCCCUACAGAAAUGACAGAUAAUCAGCAUUUUUGUUUUCUUGUUAUGUUGUCCUGAUAGUACAGCUACAAAUGGAUUUGAUGUGCUGAAUAAUGGUCUACUAGGCCUAAAAAUGAAAGUCUAGACCCUUAGUCAAAAAUAACUUGGAUCUAUGUGGUACCAAGAAAAGAGGAAUUAUAAGAAAAAGAAUAUUAGUUUAAUGUUCUGUAAAUUUUUUUCUUAACCUAUUCUGUCCAGUAUUUACUACUUGGCUGCAUUCCUAAAACAUAAAUUUCACAGGGGCAGGAGUCUUUGUCCAUUUUGCUCAUUAAUGUGUUAGGAAUACUAAAAAGAGUGUCUAGCGGGGUAGUCACAUAAUAAAUACCUGUUGCAUGAACAAA
ensembl:lncRNA LINC02654 long intergenic non-protein coding RNA 2654